AGAAACCGCAAUGUAACUUAGCUCAGAAGUGAUAACCAUGCCGCCUAGAUGGCGCUGUUCACAAAAAUUUGACGAUGGUACUGUAUCCACUGGGAAUCCAUAAGUUCAUCUACUCACCGCAAGGUGGCAGUAGCAGUACUUACGAGAUGGAGUGAUUGAUUUCUCGCAUCAAGUGCAGGACACAGACCACGAGGAAGUGGACAAGAUAAAAGAUGUUGGAGUAUUUUUUGAUCGCAAGGUAAUAU